AUUAAAAGUAUUGUCAGAACUGUGCCAAUCUUUACUUGAACAUCCACAAUGUUAUUUUUUUAAUCAUUUGUUAAUAAUAAUUUUUUUAUAAAGCAGUGGUUGUUGCAAGAUUUUUGGCAAAGGUCAAAUGUUGUUCAUAGUUUUAUAUCAUCUAUUUAAUUCCAAUGCUAUUUGACACACAGUGGGUUUAUAGUUAAAUCAUGCAUAUGACAUACAGUGGGUUAAUAGUUGACGCUUGCAUAUUUUACCAAAGUGUUAUAUAUGAAUAGCAUUUACUGACCAUUGAUUUGUAGGUAAAACAGUAGUUUUGUUUAAUAUUUACCAGCUGAAGAGUUUUGUUUUGAUGAUUUAAAAGAUCUUUAUUGGGGGGUUAGAAAUUGUAUGUUUCAUUUAAAAGAUCUUUAUUGGGGGGUUAGAAAUUGUAUGUUUCAUUUGAUGAUUCAAACUGAUAUUGGGUCAGAUAGUUAAUGUUUUGUUUGGUGAUUCAAACUGAUAUUGGGUCAGAUAGUUAAUGUUUUGUUUGAUGAUUCAAACUGAUAUUGGGUCAGAUAGUUAAUGUUUUGUUUGGUGAUUCAAACUGAAAUUGGGUUGGAUAGUUAAUGUUUUGUUUGGUGAUUCAAACUGAAAUUGGGUCAGAUAGUUAAUGUUUUGUUUGGUGAUUCAAACUAUUAUUAGGUCAGAAAUACUUAGUAGUAUUGUUUGUUUUAUGAUUCAUACAGUAAAUUAAUUGAGUUAGAUAUUUUAUGGACUGAAAAAACAAGAGAAAAUUAGAGCAUUACCAGCUACAGUUAACAUGGUUAAAAGACCAAUUAGUGCAUUCCAACAAGAAGUAUAUAAUAGGUGUCAAGAUUAAUUUUAUCAAUAACUAGUAUCCUUCAAGUUAUCUACUGUUAAGAUACAACUUUAAACAUGUUCACAGUUAUAAAAGGUAUGAAAUAAACAGCACAAUUUUCCGUCAGUUGACAAAUAUUUGUUUGUUCUGUCCUAGAUGUAUGCUAGGUGGUACUAAAUUAAUAUCCAUUGCCAUACUGAAUAAAUAUACAAUUUUCUUAAUACACUACAUUUUUCAAAAAUGAUUGAAUUUUAAUGUAUCUCUAAAAUGUAUAAUAUUGGCACAAAAUAGAUUUAAAAGCUGAAAAU
rnacentral:lncRNA from 1 species